UACGAAGGGGGCUAGCGUUGCUCUGAUUGACUGGGCGUAAAGGGCGCGUAGGCGGUUUGCACAGUUGGGCGUGAAAUUCCUGGGCUUAACCUGGGGGCUGCGUUCAAUACGUGUAGGCUUGAGUUCGGAAGAGGGUCGUGGAAUUCCCAGUGUAGAGGUGAAAUUCGUAGAUAUUGGGAAGAACACCGGUGGCGAAGGCGGCGACCUGGUCCGAUACUGACGCUGAGGCGCGAAAGCGUGGGGAGCAAACAGG
rnacentral:rRNA from 1 species